GACGAACGCUGGCGGCGUGCUUAACACAUGCAAGUCGAACGGUGAAAGCGGAGCUUGCUCCGCUGGAUCAGUGGCGAACGGGUGAGUAACACGUGGGCAACCUGCCCCUCACUUCGGGAUAACUCCGGGAAACCGGGGCUAAUACCGGAUAUGACCUCCUUGGGCAUCCUUGGAGGUGGAAAGUUUUUCGGUGAGGGAUGGGCCCGCGGCCUAUCAGCUUGUUGGUGAGGUAGUGGCUCACCAAGGCGCCGACGGGUAGCCGGCCUGAGAGGGCGACCGGCCACACAGGGACUGAGACGCGGCCCAGACUCCUACGGGAGGAAGCAGUGGGGAAUAUUGCGCAAUGGGCGAAAGCCUGACGCAGCAACGACGCGUGCGGGAUGGCGGCCUUCGGGUUGUAAACCGCUUUCAGCAGGGAAGAAGCCGCAAGGUGACGGUACCUGCAGAAGAAGCACCGGCUAACUACGUGCCAGCCGCCGCGGUAA
rnacentral:rRNA from 1 species